rnacentral:rRNA from 1 species
UACGGAGGGUGCAAGCGUUGUUCGGAAUUAUUGGGCGUAAAGAGAACGUAGGCGGAUUUGUAUGUCGAUUGUGAAAGCCCAGGGCUCAACCUUGGAAUUGCAGUCGAAACUGCGGAUCUUGAAUACUUGAGAGGGUGGGGGAAUUCCUGGUGGAGAAGUGAAAUUCGUAGAGAUCAGGAGGAACAUCGGAGGCGAAGGCGCCUGCCUGGCAAUGUAUUGACGCUGAGGUUCGAAAGCGUGGGGAGCAAACAGG